UUGAUACGAAAUGUGAAAUCAAUACCAAAACCCAAGGUAAUAUUUCUAUAACGGAGUCAAACCACACAAAUAUUGUAAAACCUGAAAUACAUAGUCAAAGAUACCAUACAAUACCCCAAAACCUGGUGUCACAAUGUAAGAACUACUAUAUGCAACUCAAAUGUCAAAUACCAUAAUAGUCCAAAAGAUCAAAUAAGUCUUUAUCAAUAAGAUUUCACCUUACGCACAGACUAGGAAUCAGCUAAAACACAUAAAUAUAUAAUCUAUGCAUCAAAAGAAAGCCAACAAUACCCAUA
rnacentral:lncRNA from 1 species